UGGGGAAUAUUGCACAAUGGGCGCAAGCCUGAUGCAGCCAUGCCGCGUGUGUGAAGAAGGCCUUCGGGUUGUAAAGCACUUUCNGCGAGGAGGAAGGUGGUGAACUUAAUACGUUCAUCAAUUGACGUUACUCGCAGAAGAAGCACCGGCUAACUCCGUGCCAGCAGCCGCGGUAAUACGGAGGGUGCAAGCGUUAAUCGGAAUUACUGGGCGUAAAGCGCACGCAGGCGGUUUGUUAAGUCAGAUGUGAAAUCCCCGGGCUCAACCUGGGAACUGCAUUUGAAACUGGCAAGCUAGAGUCUCGUAGAGGGGGGUAGAAUUCCAGGUGUAGCGGUGAAAUGCGUAGAGAUCUGGAGGAAUACCGGUGGCGAAGGCGGCCCCCUGGACGAAGACUGACGCUCAGGUGCGAAAGCGUGGGGAGCAAACAGGAUUAGAUACCCCUGGUAGUCCACGCUGUAAACGAUGUCGA
rnacentral:rRNA from 1 species